CCGAGCUCAAAAGCCUGAGAGCCAGGAGAACAUCGCACCGGCCGUGGUGCGGGAAGGUCGGCUCUCUGUGAGGCUGACAGGAACGCAACACACCAUUUUCCAUCUGGUCUGGGCCAGGGAAGCAGAGGUCAAGGAUCAUCAAUGCCAGAGGGAGGAAGAAAUUGGAGGAAGAGAGGAAGAGAGGCUGAGGGGGGAGGAAGAGGAACAGAGAUAGCGGAGCGCACGACUGAAAAAGAGAGACGGCAAGAGAGGGACAGAGAGAUAGAUGGGGAAGAAAGAAGGAGGGAGAGAGGGAGAAAGGAAAGCAAUUAUAAGGGAGGGACAAUAUAUCUGUCCAGAAAACCUCUUGAAAAAUAGCCUUCUGUCUCCGUAAUUAUAGGGAGACCCCACAGCCAGUGAAACCAGUGAGAGGAUAAGCAUUCCAGCCCAGCUGUCUCUCCAAAGGAAGAGGGUGAUCGCUAAAACAAACGCCCACAACUUCUACGUCACACACUUGUGUCAUCCUCUGAGCUGGGUUGCUGGGAUAUUUUUAGCAUCCUCCUGAAGGACCGAGCCGGGCUCUGAAAACAGUCUUUGUGGCUCUCCAUGUGGGGGCGGAAGAAGAAGUAGACUCAUGAAUUGUGAUGCCCAUGUGAAUUUUAAUGGGAACACAAAAGGGGCGGAGAACUCAGCAAGGCAAGAGCAUGCACAGCAUCGCUGGCCCACAAUGAGACCUGAGAGAAGCGCUUAUCAGUUAAUCAAUGAAAUAUGAAUCAAUAAUUAAAC